rnacentral:rRNA from 1 species
GACGAACGCUGGCGGCGUGCUUAACACAUGCAAGUCGAACGGAAAGGCCCCUUUGGGGGUCCUCGAGUGGCGAACGGGUGCGUAACACGUGCGUAACCUGCCCUUGACUUCGGGAUAACUUCAGGAAACUGGGGCUAAUACCGGAUAGGAAUCCUUGCUGCAUGGUGGGGGUUGGAAAGCUUCGGCGGUUUUGGCUGGGCUCGCGGCUUAUCAGCUUGUUGGUGGGGUAGUGGCUUACCGAGGCUUCGACGGGUAGCCGGACUGCGGGGGCGACCGGCCACAUUGGGACUGAGGGACGGCCCAGACUCCGACGGGAGGCAGCAGGGGGGAAUAUUGCACAAGGGGCGGAAGCCUGAUGCAGCAACGCCGCGGGCGGGAUGACGGCCUUCGGGUUGUAAACCGCUUUCAGCAGGAGCGAAGCUUGUGGUGACGGUACCUGCAGAAGAAGCACCGGCUAACUACGUG